GAUAUCAAUUUUUGUACCGUCGAGGGACUGAUUACACAUGGAGAAACUACAAAAAAUAAUCCAAAAUUUGAGAUGGCCACUGGUGCGGCCUGUGCAAGCUAAUCCGUGCGUCCUAGCGGGCCGGGUUGAGAUUUCAUGCCCAGGACCGAACUGUGAAAUUGACGGUUUGGGCUGGCUGGUCCACAGGAUGAAACGUCUUGGCCCACACCGAUCUGCUACCGAUUUUCAUGGUUCAGGGAGCGCAUCUUGCAGUUUGUGGGCCUAGCGGGCUGGACUGAACUGGCAGUCUGACAUGAGAAUUUUUUAUCUUUGACAUUAUUGAAUCAUUGAAAUUAUUCAUUAUUGUCAAAUAAAAUUUGAUUGAUUUUAAUGAAUAAUUCAUUAUUUUGAA